CCUACGGGAGGCAGCAGUGGGGAAUAUUGCACAAUGGGGGAAACCCUGAUGCAGCGACGCCGCGUGCGUGAAGAAGUAAUUCGUUAUGUAAAGCUCUAUCAGCAGGGAAGAAACAGACGGUACCUGAGUAAGAAGCCCCGGCUAACUACGUGCCAGCAGCCGCGGUAAUACGUCGGGGGCAAGCGUUAUCCGGAUUUACUGGGUGUAAAGGGAGCGUAGACGGCGCAGAAAGUCUGAAGGGAAAGCCCGGGGCUUAACCCCGGAACGGCUUUGGAAACUGUUUUGCUGGAGUACCGGAGAGGUAAGCGGAAUUCGUAGUGUAGCGGUGAAAUGCAUAGAUAUUAGGAGGAACACCAGUGGCGAAGGCGGAUUGCUGGACAGUAACUGACGCUGAGGCGCGAAAGCGCGGGGAGCAAACAGGAUUAGAUACCCUAGUAGUC
rnacentral:rRNA from 1 species